AUUUAUUACCUGCUUUCCCUUUGUUAAAGAAUAAACAAACAAAAGUGGAAUACCGAAUAAUAUUCUUUGUACACCGGGUUACCCCUUCCGUGGGGAGAAAACGGAACACUGUGUAUUCGCGCUUCCUAAACAACUGCGUGAUGCAUUACCGCCACCGCGUGGUCGAAAACGGCAUUUCGCUGUUUCCAGCCGUAGCAGCCAUGGAAUGAGCCAGGGUCUUUUGAACAAGGGUGCUUUUUCAUUAAGGCCUCUGCAACUAUGCAGAAAUGUGCAUCCUCCGGGUAGGCCUUAUAUCGGUACAUUUCUUCAACUACUCUAUUCAAGAUAUUUGAUUUUAUUCGGGAGCUCAAGAUCAACAACUUGUUUCCAACCCGGCACUCAGAAUUACCUUUCACUAACUGCAACUCUGUGUCAUAGGAAAAUUGAGGAAUUGGAAAUUCCUCUGGCCACUGCUUGGUUCGAGAUGACAGAGACUCGGGGGAUGAAAGCAGUAUAGUAUCGUUUGAUGCCAGUGAAACACAGUCAUCCGACUCGGAUGAAACAGAAGCAGAGGACGCAGCAGUACUGGUCAACGUUGUUUGCUGGAUGACCUGCAUUUUCCCCAAAUUCUGAAGUUCAGCAGUAGAGUUCAGAUUGAAAAAAUCAUUGCCAAAAUCUUGGUAAGGAAAAUGUCAUUGCUACUCCCAUGGUCCCUGCACAUCGGAGAGAGGAGUUCAGCCGGUUCAUCACAGGUGAAAUACCACCAUUUAUAAGAUCGUUUAUGGCAUCGUACAUCGAUCCACCUGACAGAACAGAACAGAGACAAAACAUCGAAGAAUGGCAUAACCAAAUCCUAAACGAGGACGUCUACUACGACCACCAACGAAGGCUCUGAUACCAUAUGGACGAGUGGUGGCAGUAGCUCAGGAGGUAGAGCGGGUUGGCUGGUAACCGGAAGGUUCCCCGGCUCCUCCUAGAGGGUCGAGGUGUCCCUGAGUAGGACACCACACUCUGACUACACUGACCUGGCGUGGUUGACCCCACCAUUGGUAUGUGGACGAGUGAAUGAAUGGUUGUAAGUCGCUUUGGAGAAAAGCAUUUGCAAAAUCCCCUAAUUAAUGGACUAAUGGAGCCGGAGAUGAGGCUGCUGGCUUCCUUCUAUGCAACGAUAUAUCAUAAGAAGUAUAACAUCUAACUGUCACUUUUGCAGUUUUUCUGAAAUUUUC
ensembl:lncRNA